GUCUGGAUAGCGUAGUGGUUAGCGCGUCUGCCUAAUAAGCAGGAGACUCAGGUUCGAAUCGUGGUCCAGCACA